CACGUAGGGGGCGAGCGUUGUCCGGAUUCAUUGGGCGUAAAGCGCGCGCAGGCGGCUCGGGAAGUCGGGUGUGAAAACUCGGGGCUCAACCCCGGGCGUGCAUCCGAUACUGCCGGGCUUGAGGCAGGUAGGGGAGAUCGGAAUUCCUGGUGUAGCGGUGAAAUGCGCAGAUAUCAGGAGGAACACCGGUGGCGAAGGCGGAUCUCUGGGCCUGUCCUGACGCUGAGGCGCGAAAGCUAGGGGAGCGAACAGG
rnacentral:rRNA from 1 species